AGUUGCGACCGGUUAAGUUCAUCACCUUGCUAGUAGGAGAUGAUUUCCUUUGAAACCCCUUUGAGCCCCUGUUUAAAAAUCAAAACAACACUUAGACCAUGAUUAAUGUUUUCUCUCCUCCUAUUAUAUUAUUAUAUGACACAAUAGAGAAUCCAAGUAUUCGCAUUCUGACUCUGAGAGAAUUUGUAUUUCGCGGGUCUCCCUCCUCAACCGCACUCUCGUGGUGUUACUGAGAACUAGCAUUGUCUAAAUGUUGUUUUUUCCUCAAAUUGUGUUGCAGCAAUCUUUCUGCAGUGGUUUAUGCUAUGCAUGAUGCUAUCCAAGUGUUUUUAAACAGUGUUAUCAUGACAUGAAGAUCCUUUCUCUCAUUUCCUCAAAUUUGAACGGAUGCAAUGGUUUCAGUUUGCUUUUAGCUUAAAAAGUUUCUCGUUUUUGUUUUAUAAUGAAUGUUAAGUUUAAAGGUUGGCUUGUAUACGUUUAUUUGCUGCAGCAGUUUUUAACAGGUUUUGCCAGUGAGUAUCAAGUAAUUUUCUCGAGUAAUGCGCCUGCUAUUGUUGGAUCUACAGUGACGUUUACCGCCGAUCUGUUCAAGAAUAAUGAACGCCCCUCUGGAAAGUUCUACUAUCAUUUUUAUGACAACUUCCAUCCUCCAAAUUCGUUUCGUAAUGAAACGGCAAGCACAACAGUUCACUGGAACAUAACUUACACUGGAAGGGAAAGAGUGGGAAAUUACACAGCCACGGUAGUUGUGGAAAGCUCAAUCAUUUUCGGAGCAAUCAAGAGGAAAUUUGCACUAAUGAGACUACUUUUGAAAUAACCAGGCAAUUGAACGGAAACAUUGACCUGGCACAGAAUGGAACACAUCGACAGAAGUUUGUGUCAACUGCAGUUGCUGUUGAUCACCACGUGGAACUUACCGCACCCGACCACGACUUCAUUAAAAAUGCCACAUCAUUGCUGACUUUCUGGUUCA
rnacentral:lncRNA from 1 species